UAGUAGCCAAGUGAUGGGGUGACGCAGGAAGGUAGCCGUGCCACGUGAUGGAUAUCGUGGUGUAAGCGUGUGGCCCGUGUUCUAGGUAAAUCCGGAGCAUGUGUGGGUGAGGCGUGAUGCGUACCCGUUUUGGGGAAGUUGGUGAUCCUAUGCUGCCGAGAAAAGCCUCUAGCGAUGUGGAUAUACGGCCCGUACCCGAAACCGACACAGGUAGUCAGGUAGAGAAUACUAAGGCGAUCGGGAGAACUGUGGUUAAGGAACUCGGCAAAAUGCCCCCGUAACUUCGGGAGAAGGGGGGCCUCGACUGUGAAGCCCACAUGCUGGGUGGAGGCGGUUCGAGGCCGCAGAGACCAGGGGGAAGCGACUGUUUACUAAAAACACAGGUCUCUGCGAAAGCGUAAGCUGACGUAUAGGGACUGACGCCUGCCCGGUGCCGGAAGGUUAAGAGGAGUCGUUAGCUUCGGCGAAGCGGCGAAUUGAAGCCCCGGUAAACGGCGGCCGUAACAAUAACGGUCCUAAGGUAGCGAAAUUCCUUGUCGGGUAAG
rnacentral:rRNA from 1 species